AUCCCCCAGAUCCUGACCCACCCAUUCUCUGUCUUCCCUCCCUCCCUCCCGAUGCGGCUGCUCUCUCUCCCUCGACGCGCCGCCAUCCGCACCUCCCAACGCGCCGCCGUCCUCCGCCUUCCCCCGCAUUCCGCUCAGCCACCGCCCUCUCCUCCUCCCCCCCACCCUCCUCCAUGGCGAAUCCACCUCCAGAUCGAGAAGGGGAGGCAGCGUACGUCGCAUCCACGCACCAGAUCAAGCAGUGGCGCUCCCAGAUCGAUCCAUCUCCGUCGUCCUCGUGGUUGACGCCCAUGUCCUCCUCAAGGACGGCCGUCUCCGUGCUCCACCACCACCCUUUCCCUCCUCCCUCACCGCAUCUCACAUGGCGCUGGGAUCUUCCAGAUCGAGCGCCGGCAGGGUAGGCGCCUCCGCCUCCCAAGUCCAAGACCCCGCCUCCGCCGCCGGCAGGGAUCUUCCAGACCAGCGCAAUGUCUUCCGCGUCGCUGACCAUGCUGGGGUCGCACUCGCCGGCCUCACCGCCAUCUUCCUCCACGAGCUGCAGCCCAUCCUCGCCAACCACCUGCAGACCCAGACCGCCAGCACCGGCAACGCAUGCGUCGUGGCCUGCGGCGCCGCUGCCGCCAAGGACCGCCUCUUCAAGGGAUUGCAGGAGCAGCCGGGCCUGGUCACCAUCGCCAUGGAGGAGAUCCUCCAGUUCACGGCGUCCGUCAGCGGCGCCGUCUGGGUGUCGUCGUACCAGGUUCAUGUCAAGUCAGUUGAGGAUUUCGCGCGGCUGGGCUGUUUCAAUGAGAACUAGGACAAGCAGCAGCCCACCAAAGCUUCUUCCACCCAACAGCAGCCCACUAAACUGACUAGUUUUUCAUGUCUUGUGUGAAAUCUGUACCCUACUAGAAGAUGCCACCAUCAAGUUAAUAAUAACACUAAACUGGUAUAUGUAAUUAUAACCAGAUAAUUUAUCGCAUCGUACUAUAAAAAUAUGUAAUCAGUAAGCCUAAAAGCCGCUAAACUGGUAUAUUCAUUAUUUGAGUUCAUUGGAAUAUAAUAAGAAACAAAGAUGAAUCUAUUUCUGCUAUGUGCUUCCUUUGUGCAUAGAUGUAUCUUCAUGAGUCGCAAAACUAUUGACAUGCUUAUUCUAUAGUUGAUUUUCCUAGGUUGUAGUUUGUUCCAUAUCGUGUUAGGUUGUAUUGUAUAAUCUGCAUUAUAAGUGUAGUUUCUAAUGUGCUUAUGCUAGAUUAAUGCAUCAACCUGACAUGUUACAAACCUUGAGCCAGAACCUAUGACAUCUCAUUUUAAAUGGUAAUCAUUGUUGUUAAAAUGCUACUGUUUGAUUUCAUACAAGUGUGUGCCCCCAACUAUUGUAUAGUUGUAUCCAUACUUCUGAGCAUAUUAUUGUCUAGCCUCUUUUGUGAUUAGUCCUCAUUUUUAAUGAUGUUACCGUUUAUCUAAGAUCAUUUGAAGUUUUGAGCUGGCGCCUAGCUAGCCUCUUUUGUGAUUAGUCCUCAUUUUGAAUGUCAUCCACACUAUUUUUUUGUUAAUUUUGUUCCUUGUAUGAACAACCUUAUAAUUUUGGUGGAUGCACGUGUGGGUGGCAGGAGGGCUAGUUCAUGUAGCUUACUUCCUGUUUGUCAUUUUGGUGGCUUGCCAUUUUAUUUACAGCAUUGUGGAUGAUGCCAUUAUCCUAGUUUUCACAUUUAUAUUAGUCACUUAAACAAGGCUGGGUUAAGUUGAGUUGUUCUGCUGCUGAUGGCAAUACAAGCCAAUAGAUCUCACAUGCAAAAAUUCAACAGAUUUUGCUAGGUUAAUGUUGAGUUGGCGCUGCUGCCUGCAUAUGCAAAAAUUCAACAGAUUUACAGCAUUGUGGAUGAUGCCAUUAUCCUAGUAAUGAAACAGAUUUACAGCAUUGUGGAUGAUGCCAUUGGAUUGAUCAGUUGGCGUAUAUACAAGGAUGAAUACAGCCAUUUAGUCAAUUUCCAUGAUUGGUUUAUUUGUGAUUCGUUCUAUCUCUGAUGGUUACCUUCCUUGUGUCUGAACCUGUAUGAUAAGCUAAUAUAUUUUCCAGAAAUGACUUGGGAACUUGUUUGGUUCUGACUAGCCACCUAUUACACAGCUAGUUCCAUGAGUAUUUAGUCUUCUGUCCCCUUUUCGGGUACUGAUUUGCCACAUAAUGUUCAUGAUGCAUCAUAUCUCAUGUUGAAGUACUUUGCUGUGAUGCUUUGUUUUGGGGUCAGUCAGUAGUACUCUGAAUAAGAGCAUAAACAUAUAUGAUUGUGUUAUAUUAAUUGAUUGCAUGCCCUCUUGGAUUCUGUUUUUGCCUGCUGCAUGUGUGCUGAUAGUUUUUGCAUAGUGUUGGCCGCGGGGUCUGGCCAGCGAUGUCGGGUCGUUGGUCGGACAGGCGAUCAGAUUUAGUUUUGGUACAUUUCGUUGAUUGCUGGUACUGUGUUGACGCAACCUCGAAUGCCUUGCCCGUUACGCCGUUGCUCCUCUUUCUUAUCUGCUUCGAUUGCAGGUAUGCAGAGCCAGAUCGUGUGCCACCGUUGCUGAAGGGUGCUGGCCUACCCAUCAGGCGCCCAGCGUGUGCGGCGCCAUGUGCCGAGCCAUCACCGUCGUGCCACCCCCAGCGCCAGGAGCUCUAGUUCUACAAAAUUUGAAGUUCGAAACCAUAUAGCUCUACUCAGCAAAGAGUCGUCUCUUCUGUUCGAUGGUAAUAGAAUGUAAAUAUUGUAAUAUUGUAAUAGUAGGCAUACCUGGGUUGUAAUAACUAUAUACAGAUUGUAGUAGACUUAGUUUUAUUUGAUGAACUAUGUUUGUACUGUUC